AGGGGCCUGUUGCACAAAAGUAGAAUUAAGACAUCCGGGAUAAAUGACUCAGCUGAGCUCAAUGAAGCCAAAACAUGUGCGUCCAGGCUUAAUUGGUUGCACAAAGACCAAGCCAGGAUGAGCAGACACGGAUUCAUUAAGCCAGGUGAAACCAAUCCUGGAUAGGUGCGCGCUCACGGCUCACUCAAAUAGACCCCGCCACAGAUCACAGAUUAACUGAUUUACCAUGGCAACUAGAGCCGCGUACUUUUCCCCGUCGGAAGCACAAAUCCUCAUGGAGGCAUACGAGGAGGUAAAAUAUAUAAUUAAGAAGAAAGGCAACACCGCCACAGUGAUAAAGCAAAGAGAAAAAGCGUGGCAGGGUAUUGCAGACCGCCUGAAUGCGUAAGUAGUGUACAAUUACACACUCACCGCUCCGCUGAAACAUCACAAUUACAAUUCAAAUAUUUAAUUCACAUCUCCAAAAAUGCAGUUGUACUGUAAUUAUGAAACGGUUAAAUUUUUAAUUGAAAUGCACUGCAGAUAUGAGUGAAAUUGUGUAAAGUAACUCCAUCACACUGUAUAAAGCUAUGAUACAUUUUUUGAUAUUUUUACUGAAAACAAGACAAAAAUACCAAGUAAUUUUUUGCAGUGUGACUCCAUUAAAUGUGUGUGUGUGUGUGUGUGUGUAGAUUAAACAUGAACGGGCCAAAACGGACAUGGCAGCAGGUCAAAAUCAAAUACAAGAACAUUCUGCAGAAUGCAGUGAAAAAGAAUACCCACAGACAAGGCACGGGUGGUGGGUCACCAAAGGCUGACCUUACCCCAGCAGAGGACAUGGCCUUGGAGCUAAAUAAAGGCAGGCCCGUCUUAGAGGGGAUCCCUGGGGGGAAAGAGACGAGCAUAGGUUCCUCCCAAGAUGCCACCCGCUUCAUUCAAGUGCCUGGCAGCACUGUGUUCCUGUUAGAGCCACAAGCACCAG